UUGUAAAGGUGAACUAUUUCUUUAUGUUUAACAACGGCAAAGGUAUACAGGCUUUUAUUUUGAUAGCGUCAUAGCAACCGUAGCCAAGUAAGGAGGCGCAACGGGCGUUACACAGAAGAAGCAAACGGAAAUCUAAAGUAGAAAUCUAAAGUAAAGACGGAGCAAAGGAUAGGCUAUUAACGGUUCACGGAGAAGAAGACAAAGAAAGUUUGAGGAAUACUUCUGUCUAGCUUCAGUUGAUAAGGGGAACAAGCUCUUACGUUGGUUGGUUGAUGAUACGGACGGCUCAAUAAAUCAUCAUUCACCAUCA